rnacentral:misc_RNA from 1 species
CCCAGUCAACAAAGUUGUUGGGGAGUGGAGAUUGGCCCCCGGGCCUUGCGGGCACGGUUAGCACAAAUGUUGGUCCCCGACGGCGAGUGGCGAGUGUCGCGAUCAGUGGUGGUUGUAUUUCUCAUCCUCCAAAGACACAAGACGCGUCUUCCUCGUUGCUUGUUGGGACGUAUCGACCCCAUGA